UCUUGUUGUUUUUUUGUUAGGUGAAAUGGUAAUUUCACUGCUUGGAUUUAUUGCGCUACGUGUUUGUUUGUUGGGUCUUACAGGGUUCUGUGGCAAAAGGGGGUGAACAUUUAUGUUUGGGUGGAGGCUGGAGCUAUGUAUAAUGUAUAUCUAGGCUGGUCUUUAUUUCCUCUGGUGAGAGAGAGAGAGAGAGAGAGAGAGUCUCUCUGCACCUCUCUGUAAUCGGCCUUCAAUCCUAAAAAAAACUCCACUUUGCAUCUCUGUUGUAGCCCAAGAUUCAAGAGUUUCAGGUGAUUUUGAGUUCGACGAUGACGGAGUUUCAGGCGGUUUGGGACUUCGCUGACGACGAUCCAGUCGGAGGGGGCGUUGCUUCUACGUUCUCUAUGGUUUUGCCAUUGGGAAGAUUUGGGUCUCAGAGAUUUGAUGAAGGUUGUUAAGCUACAUACGAUGUUUGUGGCGAAUCCUUCAUCUGUUUUGGCUGCCACUCAAACACCAGGAGAAGCGGGAAAAAAGUGGUUACAAGGAGUAGCUGAUUAUAUUUUACAUGGGUAUUUAAGGUGUGUGCUAAGCUUAUAAUCAUUCACUAUCAAUCUGUUUUUAAUCUUUGGAACUUGAAAAUAACUAAUUGUGGUAUUGAUGAUUUUAAUAGGAUGCCAAGAAGAAAAACGUGGAGCACAUACUAAUUUUGUCCGGUGAUCAUCUCUACUGGAUGGAUUACAUGGACUUUGUGCAGGUACUUACAUUUUUAUAAAAAUAAUGUCACAUCCAAAGUGUUUAGUUGAUUGCUUAUUAAGCAACUUAAUUGCAUAAGUAUGUCGGCUCACAAGCUAAUGUCAUGGUUUCAUGUGUCCCCAUGGAUGAUAGGUAUUUUAUAGUCUUCAGGUUGAGCAUAGUUCCUACUCAUUCGGAGGCCUCAAACUCUCAUUCGGAGUUGGAGACUCAUCGCCAAAGAAGUCAGUGAGAGCCCGGAAAGAUGGAGAUAAAUGUAUGUCGUCUUGAUUUCAUCCUAUUCCUGUAACCAGGUUUUAUUAGAGAAUUUAGAGUCUUGUUUUGAUAGAUAUAUAAAUACUAAAAAAAAAAGGAGCUUUGAUGCCACUUAACAACUACAAGGGUUUCCCGAUUACUAUAUUCUUCCAUCUAGGAAAUGAGCUCCUUUGUCCCUUGACACAACAGUCUUCUCCUUUACAUUUCUUUAUGCUGAGGCCUAAAUUGUGUGUUCAAUACACAAGUAGCAUGAAGCUGCCAUGAUUGAAAUUGACGUUCUGCCAAAAUUUGUGAGGCACAAUAUUGGUGGUACACGAUAGGGAUCUACUUUCUAUCUGUUUGCUAUUUUAGUUUGAAGUGAUUGUCUACAAGUUGUUACAUAUUUUGCAGUUGUGUGCAAAUACAUCAUUGGUUUGACUAUCAUAAUCAUAUUUGUAUUGUAAGUAUUUAUUGGUAUUUGUGGUUGGAUUAUUCAAAGGGCAUCCAUAUUUUAUCAUAGCCUGAAUAUAUUCUGAGUUAAAAACUUGUGGAUGGAUUCAAAUGGUCUUAACAUGUAUUUUGAAUAUUUUUAGAAAAUGAAGCACCUGCAAUGACAAAUUUACCAGGCACUUUUCUAGUGGCAAUUGGUCUACGACUGAAAACUUCA